UUAUGUCAUUGGAACACUUAUUGGGUACUUUUGAGUUAUUGGGUAUACCCAAUAAUCCAAUUGCUUUCAUUGUGUUCCAGAGACAUUUACUGGGUAUUGGAUAACACAAACCCAAUAAAUGUUUGUCUGAGAUUUGUCUAUGAAAUCUAGUCCAUCUUAUGGACUUUACUGUUUGUUGAAAUCAAAUUCUUUUGGAAUGCCUUUGGUUUUAUCAUCAACAAUGAAGAAUUCAGAAGAGUUCCAAACAACUAUGACAUGUGAUAAGAUUAUCCAAUCAGAAAGUAGCAAUGGCUACUGAAACAGAUGCUAGAUGAACAUAUCACCUGGAACUAAAGAAAACCGAUUCAAGGCCUUAUUGCUAUCUGGAUAAAAAUAAUCAUGUGAUGAUGACCCUUUUGAUUUAGCAGAAUCAUGUGAUGAUGACCAUUUUGAUUUAGCACCUGGAAGAAGAAGUCAAGCCUGGAUGAGCUUUUUAAUGAAUUACAUCAUGAUGAUGAUUAUCAGAGCUAUACUGACAUCUGGACAAAGAGCAAAAAUGGAGCCCUGGAUUCACAGUUUAAAGAUUGAAAGUUUUUGUGAACAGAAUUUAGGUUAGCAGCAUAGAAAAAUAACUGCAUGCAGACCUUUCAACUCUGGAAAAGAAACCUUGGGCACCCAAGACCUUGUUGAGGCCAGGGGCAAGAAAUAGCAAGCAGUCUACCUGACCUGCAUGAAAAAUACACAUUUUGCCGGGAAACGAAUCUGACUUCACAUUACGAAAUUUUAACAAGAGAGAGGCAAUUUGAUGAGCUUUCAUUCAAGAGGUCCUUCGUUGCUGAACGAAAAUUAAGGCUUUGGAGCUAUGAACCUGAACGUUAACAUUACCGCCUCAGAUGGAAAUGCAUUAGUGGACAAUACCAAUAUUGAGCUCCAUGCUGAUACCUUGUAAAUUGAAUUGGAACUUCAUCAAAGAUUAAAACACAACAUUGAGACACACUAGAUAGUUUUUCAGUACAGACUUCACACCAUAAGAUUUUAACAAGAAAGAGGCAAUUUGAUGAGCUUUCAUUCAAGAGGUCCCUCGUUGCUGAACGAAAAAUAGGGCCGGAGCUAUGAACCGGAACGUUUACAUUACUGCCUAAGGAAAAUGCAUCAGUGGACAGGAACCUUUACAUUACCGCCUAUGGAAAAUGCAUCAGUGGACUAUACUCAGGCGUUUCAUGUGGAUACGAAGGUAGCGAGCAUUGCAGGAAAAAUACACGGCUAGUGUUAGAAAGCGUUUAAUGGGGUUUACCAUCAGAAAAAUCUGGUAAUUGAAGUGGUGAAAUGACGGGCGGCUGCCAAAAGGGUGCCCCUUUGGCUGGACAACUCAUACAGUUUUCGAGAUAUAAAGGUUUUUUGUUUUGCAGAUCAAUUGUAUAUAUAAUCGAGAUAUGCAUUAUUGCUAGGAUUUUAACUUUUGUAAAUUUUUGCAAAAAGUACCCACUUUUGAACUCGUCAUUUGCUUAUAAGGUACAUCUUUUGUGCAAAUAACUCCUCCCAACAGUUUUGAAGAUAGGGAUAUCUUAAUUUUGCAGAUUAAUUGUACAAUCUCAACCCCCAUAAACUUGAAAUGAUGACCAAAUAUCUUAAGAUUUGCACUUUUGAUUGAGUUAUGUCUUAGUGUACAGGAAUUGUUAAUAAUAUAUGUGUGUGCUCAUAGAAAAGAACAUCAUGCAUAUGCAUUGUAAUACCAGUAAAUAUCGUAUUGAAAUUGUUGAUCAUGUUAAGAUUUUCAAAGUUUAUGAUGAGUUACAGUAUGUCUAAUUCCACACAUACAAAAUUCUCUGUCACUGUUUUAAGGGAAAAAAACCCAAAUUGUACCAGUAUGAACAUUUUCUGAAUAUUUUUGGAUGUGCAUUUUUUAUGAGUCAGCCAAUGACUGUUGAAUAUUUAAACUUUCUCUGCAUUUUUGUAUGCAAGCUGAAUAUUAUGCCAGUUUAAAGGUCUAUGGAAUGGUCUGUUUGAUCUUCUUAACCAUACAUGUAAGAUGUCUGACAAUCUUUCUGUAAGAUUUGAUAAAUUCGUGUACAUGCAUAUGCAUUUGUGUAUAUUUCAUAUUUGAUGAUAAUUGUUGAAAUUGUUGAUAAAGUUGAGAUUUAUAAAGUUUAUGAUAGUUAUGUAAAUUGAUCAAUUUUGAGUUUAUGAUCAUAAAUUGUUGUUUAAAGUU